rnacentral:rRNA from 1 species
UACGUAGGGUGCGAGCGUUAAUCGGAAUUACUGGGCGUAAAGCGUGCGCAGGCGGUUCGUUAAGUCAGAUGUGAAAGCCCCGGGCUCAACCUGGGAAUGGCGAUGGAUACUGGCUCGCUAGAGUGCGGUAGAGGAGAGUGGAAUUCCCGGUGUAGCAGUGAAAUGCGUAGAGAUCGGGAGGAACAUCAGUUGCGAAGGCGGCUCUCGUGGACCAGCACUGACACUGAGGCACGAAAGCGUGGGGAGCAAACAGG